rnacentral:rRNA from 1 species
UGACCUCAAAUCAGGUAGGAUUACCCGCUGAACUUAAGCAUAUCAAUAAGCGGAGGAAAAGAAACUAACAAGGAUUCCCCUAGUAACUGCGAGUGAAGCGGGAAAAGCUCAAAUUUAAAAUCUGGCAGCCUUUGGCUGUCCGAGUUGUAAUCUAGAGAAGUGCUAUCCGCGCUGGACCGUGUACAAGUCUCCUGGAAUGGAGCGUCAUAGAGGGUGAGAAUCCCGUCUUUGACACGGACUGCCAGGGCUUUGUGAUGUGCUCUCGAAGAGUCGAGUUGUUUGGGAAUGCAGCUCAAAAUGGGUGGUAAAUUCCAUCUAAAGCUAAAUAUUGGCGAGAGACCGAUAGCGAACAAGUACCGUGAGGGAAAGAUGAAAAGAACUUUGGAAAGAGAGUUAAACAGUACGUGAAAUUGCUGAAAGGGAAACGCUUGAAGUCAGUCGCGUUGUCCAGGGAUCAACCUUGCUUUUGCUUGGUGCACUUUCUGGUUGACGGGUCAGCAUCAAUUUUGACCAUUGGAAAAAGAUUAGGGGAAUGUGACAUCUUAGGAUGUGUUAUAGCCCUUGGUUGCAUACAAUGGUUGGGAUUGAGGAACUCAGCACGCCGCAAGGCCGGGUUUUAACCACGUACGUGCUUAGGAUGC